rnacentral:lncRNA from 1 species
CUCUCUCUAUAUCGUCUAUCCCUCCCCCUUCUCUCUAGAACCUUCUAGUUCUCUCUUCUUCUCCGAUGAACCCCACCGCCUCUCCGGUCGCCUCCAAUCUCACCCCAUUCGACCAUCAACAACCAUAAAAACCUAGAUUGCUGGUUCUCUCUAUUUUUGAGACCCCAGAAGCCCCAUUAUGCGAUUCAACCCCGGAAGACUUCACCUGGUCCGUUUCCGGCAAUCUCUGGCCAUCUCCCUUCAACCCUAAGUCUCCGAUGGGCCUCUCACUGUACUGUUCAACACCUCUAGGACCUUCAAAACUUAUGGACCAUGGCGAUUGAGACCUAUGGUUCCUGGUUCUGCUAUUUGCAAGUUCUCCGGUGUGAUUUCAGGUGAAAUCACACCCUAUAUGUCACGAUCUAUGAGGUUACAAUAGGUUUUCUCCAUUUCUAUUAGGUUUCUCCUUUUUUGAAACCCUAAACCUCUCCUGAAUCUCACAAAAAUAGUGUUAUUUCAUGCUAUUUUCAUGUUUUCUUCUAUGUUCUACUUAUUUUCGAGUUUGUCCUGAAACAUAUUUUACUUUGAAC